ACUCCUGACCUCAGGUGAUCCGCUUGCCUCAGCCUCCAAAAGUGCUGCGUUUACAGGUGUGAGCCACCGCACCUGGCCAGUAUUUAUUAUUUUACUUUGCAAAGUUGGGAUUAUGUCGGAAGUGCUGUAUUUGAUCCUAUUCUUUUUGCAAAAUUAUGGGGUGACCAAGAAAGUUUUUUUUUUUUUUAACAUGCAUCAGCCACUAAUUUUUACUGUUAAUGUUUACUGGGCUUACAUUUGUAUGUAGAUUGUCUUCUACCUUCAAACUUGCUGGUUUCUUUAGAGGUGUUAACGUUGAAUGUGUGAAAGUCACUUAAUGAACUUAAGAGUUAAGAGAUUUGUGUGUGUUUCUAUUCAGUAAAGGCCAAGAGUAAUGAAAAAAAAAAUCCCUAAUUUCAUCUCUAUUAGGUGUCAUCAUUGAUAAUAUAUUUCUGUCAUUUUCAA